GUGCCAGCAGCCGCGGUAAUUCCAGCUCCAAUAGCGUAUAUUAAAGUUGUUGUGGUUAAAAAGCUCGUAGUUGGAUCUCAACAGCCUUGAAGCGGUUAACUUUGUAGUUUUACUGCUUUAUAGGCUGUGCUUUUGCUGGAGGUUUAGGGGUGCUCUUGAUCGAGUGUCUCUGGAUGCCAGCAGGUUUACUUUGAAAAAAUUAGAGUGCUCAAAGCAGGCUAAAAUGCCUGAAUAUUCGUGCAUGGAAUAAUAGAAUAGGAUGUCGAUCCUAUUUUGUUGGUUUUCGGGACUCGACAUAAUGAUAAAUAGGGACAGUCGAGGGCAUUUGUAUUCAAACGACAGAGGUGAAAUUCUUGGACCGUUUGAAGACAAACUACUGCGAAAGCAUUUGCCAAGAAUGUUUUCAUUAAUCAAGAACGAAAGUUAGAGGUUCGAAGGCGAUUAGAUACCGCCCUAGUUCUAACCAUAAACGAUGCCAGCUAGCGAUCUGCCUGCGUUUUUACUGUAGACUGGGCAGGAAGCUUCCGGGAAACCAAAGCAUUUGGGUUCCAGGGGAAGUAUGGUUGCAAAGCUGAAACUUAAAGGAAUUGACGGAAGGGCACCACCAGGAGUGGAGCCUGUGGCUUAAUUUGACUCAACACGGGAAAUCUCACCAGGCCCGGACACUGGAAGGAUUGACAGAUUGAUAGCUCUUUCUUGAUUCGGUGGGUGGUGGUGCAUGGCCGUUCUUAGUUGGUGGAGUGAUUUGUCUGGUUAAUUCCGAUAACGAACGAGACUCUGUCCUGCUAAAUAGUUUCUACUUCUCUUUUGAGUAGAAUUUCUUCUUAGAGGGACUGGUGACUCUUAGUCCCCCGAGAUUGAGCAAUACCGGGUCUGUG
rnacentral:rRNA from 1 species